rnacentral:misc_RNA from 1 species
GUGGAAUUGAUUUUUUAUAUUGAUAUUUCAAAGGAACAAUACAACAACAACUUCUCAAAAAGACAAUUCCCCAAUAACAAUAAUAAAAGAAAAUAGAAGAAAUGGCUCAUAGAGCCCCUAAGGAAGUUACCCUCGAAUAGAGAAGGUUACCCUCUACCCUUCUUCAAAAAAUAGAUUCGAAGAUAAUACUAAACAUGCCUUUCAUGCUCUCAC